UAUACAUAUAUACAUGUAAAUGGUAUUAUGUCAGUAACUGAAAUUGCGUAGAAUUACACAAUUUUAUUUUAGAAAUGAAGAUUUUUUUUGGUCAAAAUUGAAAACUAUGUUUUAUGUUUAUGUUUAUUGACGAUAUUUUCUUUGCAUUGUUUAUAUCGAUUUUGGUUGUUUUGGUUUCUUUCUCAAAUUUUUGGAGUUGGUGUGUGAUUGUGGUUAUUCGAUUUGGGUUCGGUGUUUUAGUUUGUCUCUUUGUGGGAGUUGUUUAUGUGUGGUAUGGUAGUUUUUCUUUGUCUUUUUUGGAGUUGUUAAUGUCAUUUGUGUGUUAUGGUAGUUUUUCUUUGUCGAAAUUCAGGCCUUAUUUCUGAAGUGGUCGAUAAGACAGUUGAUUCUUUGCUGAUACAUUGUGAUCGAUUUGAAAAAGUUGGAUUUUGUUAUACUAGUCGAAUUAUUAUUAUUCAUCAUUUCAAAUAGUUAUAUCAAUAUCAUUAGAAAUGGGAGACACAUUUAUAGUUAUAUUGAAUUUUCAGCUGAACCAUUCCCAAUUUUGUAUAAAAUAUUGAUGUUUAAUAUGAGUUUUGAUAAUUAUAUUAAUAUAUAGGUGGAGAAUGCGGCAAUGCAUGUAUAUUAAAAAUAACAUUGAUUCUUUUAGAUUUAGAAAGUGCAUGAAAUUUCUAAUAAUGAUAUUUGGGUGUUGAAUGCGACAUUUUUAACAAUUAUAUAUACUGAUUAUUUUAGAUGCAGAAUGACCAGUAUAAUAUUAUUGUUCUUUGGUUUUUCGUUUGUUUUCAGAUGGCGUAAGAAAACAUCACUGGAUUACGUACUUUUGAAAGACAAAACUAGAUAAUAUUGUAUAUUUCUAAAUAUUACCACUAUAUUUUUCAGACUAUUGUUCGAUUGAUGGUAAAAUAAAUGUUUAUUACCUAAAGCAGGAAAUGGCGGGAAGAAUCCUAGCAGACGACAGUUGUCGCGCAGAUGCAAUCGUGCACCAUAUCAGACAGCCCUAAUUUAAGUUACAGGCUGACCUAGCUCUAUACUGGACUCGCUUUCAGCAGGUAGAUGACGACAAUAAAUUUUAAAGAGUAGAAAUUUGCGACUUCCGUGUGUCUGCUUCUCGAUGUUGUGAUCUCAGUUACUUCCCCUGACGUUCAGUGUCGAGUUUCAGGAUUUGAAAUUAUGAAAGAAGGAACGAUAUGAAAUGAGCACCGGCAAUCUGAUCUUGGCAUGUUACAUCCUUAUCACAGAACUGGAACCUACUGAUUAAGAUGAGAAAUACGGAACAUGGUAAAUUGUGCAGGUGAAGGAAUGAAGAAAACACCACCCUCCUUACAGUCAGCAAAAUAACUAUGUUUGGAACUACUGCAUGCCGUUACAACAUAUGUGACAAAGAGAUUUUAAUCCAUCUGAUACGAUUUGGUAUCUUUCUGAAAAUAUCAUGUUCAACUUCUGAAUGGCGUUUUUUUCUGCCAAGUUUAAAAAAUAUAUUACCAUGUAACUGUCUAAUAUUUAUGGCAAUUAUGAAGUAAUGAGUAUUUGGCGUAGUAAUAAAAACCAUAAAAGGUGUUAGCUCGAUUGGAUUUUCUAAAUGAGCUUGAAAAAAUAACACCUUCAUAAAUGCCGUGAUGUGAACAGAAUAUAAGGGAUAUUUUAUUUGCUUUUUACAUUGUACAUCAUCUAUUUACCAACACACUGUACUGUCUUGUGAUGGCAAUAAUGAGUAUAAUUGCAAUAAUGAAUAAUGCACUUUUUUGCAAUGUAUAUUUCAAGUGGUGUAAUAAGUAAAAUUUGAUCAGGAAUGUACAUUUAUUAAGACUUAAUAUAUAUGCAAACAUACUGUACCGUUAACAUAAUGGCAAUAGUAAAAUUGCAGAAAUGAAUGAUGCGCAUUUUUACAAUGUAUGUUUCAAGAAGUGUAAUAAGUAACAUUUAAUAAAGACAUACUAGGCCGUACAAUGAGAAAUAAUGAUAUUUAACAACGUCAUGAUAGAAACAUCCAUUUGAAAUUUCUUAAGAUUUAAAUAAUAAUAACACCACCGAGAAUAUCACCACUACCACAAAAAACAACAUUAAUGAAACAUAAUGAAAACUCCAACGAUGAAAUAUUUCAUCAUUCAAAAACAUGCAAUGAUGAAAAAAUGAAUUAAAAUAUUAAAAUAAUUGUAAUAACGACCAGAAGAACAAUAAUGAAAUAAAAGAAUGAAAUAACAAUAUGAAUGAAAUAAAAUAAAAACAACAAAAUGAAAUAAAAUAAACAAUAAUGAAAUAAAAUGAAAACAAAAAUAAUGAAUGAAAUCAGAUAAAAUAAAAACAAUAAAAAUAAUAAAUAAAAAAAAAAUGAAAAUAAAAACAAAUUGAAAUAAGGUAACAAGAAAUGGAAUGAAAGAAUAAUAUUGUCACAAGUGACCAUUUAGUUGUUUACCUAUAACAUACUUGAUCUUAAAGUGACCAGCCUUUGCCACCAGUAUGCAGCCAGGCCAACCUGCAUGUCCGUUCAGAUUGACCAGGCUCUAAACCGUUGGCUGACCAAUUUCAAAUUUGAUUUUAUUCAAGUUAUAUUCCCUAAAUUGAGAAUGAACGUAUUCAGAAACGGAAGCUGGACAAUAUUAUCAACCAUAUACAUGAUAUAAUAUGUUCCUUUAUAUUUUGAAGUAUCAUUUGUUUAUUUUUUUCUUUUAAAUGCUUUAAAUAAGGAGUCACAAAGGGUUACUUUAUCAUUUUCAUUUCCAAGCAUAUCCUCGUGCGUUUCAUCGCCGGAUAGCCACUGAUACCCACUGCCUAACAAUUAAUAUUUAUCUUGAUUACAUUUUAAUCAACCGUGGGUAUCCGACGAUGCAUGCGUUUAUGCUUGGUUUUUUUUGUUGUUGAUUUUUUUUAUUGUUGUUGUUUACAAUUUUUAUAUGAUCUGACAAAAAGCUAAAAAAGGGGGUGGGGGCUAGCAUCAUUUAGCUUUUUUUGUUCGCUUUUGAUACGUUAUUCUAUCAAUUUUUCAACUUUACUUGCCUGUUUUAAUUUUUUAAAGUUUUUUAUUUAUUUAUUUAUUCAUUCAUUUAUGUAUUCAUUUAUUUAUUGUUUUGCAAAUUACAUCAAGCGAAAAGGGAGGCUACUUGUUUUGAAAUACAUAUUCAGGGGAGAUCAAUUAAAAUUCAAAUGAUAAGAACGGACCAAAGGAGACCUAUUUUCAUUAAAACAAGUAUUUUUAAUGAUAAAAAAGUCAUUUUCCCGUCAGUUUACACUCCAUUACCACGUGUUAUUUUUUUCUAACUGAUAACUCUCACACAUCUUCGGUACUAACAUAAACUUUUGGGGGAAAUGACUUUCAUAAUGCUACUGUAAAACUUCCAACAAACAUCAAUCAAAAGUAAUAACAUUUGGUUGUGAAAAUUUAGCCGCAAAAGGCAUAAUGUUUAAUUAUCAAUAGGGAGAGUAGUCGCUCUUUGGUCUUUGACGUCAUUUCAAUUUUCAGGGGAGGUUACACCGUUACUUAAUUAUUUACAAUCUCCACACAGUGAUCUCCCCUUAAUUCUUCGGCGUAGAUCUCUGCCACCAAGGUCCCGAUAUAUCAGAAUUUCUGAUAUACUAUAUUUUUUCAAAAAUUGUUUUAUCUACUGCUUUUAUCUAUCAGUUAAGUUUUCUCUCAUUUAUUUAACAAUGUUUAUGAAUAAAUAAAUAAAUAAUAUGAAUAUUUAGAAAUAAUUUCAAAAAUUAUGAGAUUAUUUUCUUCCGAGACGAUACUUUGAUAUUUGAUAUUUUUUAGCUUUUUAAUUUAUUUUUCGUUAUUUUGUAUACUUCCGAUAAUUUUUUGAUAAACUAUAUCGAACGUAGGCACCAAAAGUUAAAAAUAAAACAGAAAGAGAAAAAUACCGUUAGAUUUUCUUUGUAACGGUCGAUAUUUACAUUUGAAUUUCGACGUUACGUCAUGUGACUUUCAUCAUCAUGUGACGUCUUUGAAGGCAGUGAUUACAAUUCUGCCAAGGGAGGUAAUCACUGUGAGGAGUUUGAAUUAUUUAAGGCAAGAGUGGUCUCCCUUUGAUCAUACUUGCUUUUACAAAUUAUUCUGCAAUAUUGAAUUUACCAUCAACAUGAUCAAAAACAAUUUAAAGGAACACACUAUAGUCAAAAUUGGAUUCUUUUUUUACAAGUAUACAGAACUUGAAAUAUUUCAACCAAUUUUAGGAUAGAUUUAAUGGUUAAUGCUUUUCACUUAGUACAUAUAAAAAUAUGAAAAUACUAUAGACCUAGUAUCUUUACUUAUAGAAUUACGAUUUUUUAAGUAUUAUUUAAAAUAGUUGCCUAUAAUUUGUGUCACGGGUAAACAGAAGAUUAUCUUGUAUCUUGGAAACUUCUUUGCGUUUGUUAAUAUUUCUUUAAACAGAUUUUAAAAAUCGAUUUCAGUUCUGGACAAUAUUUAAAAUAUCUCAACAUCCUUAAAAUUCUAAAUAAUUCUAACGAUGUCCUUUCAUAGUUUGAAACAUUAAUAUAUUUGUUAAUAUUUGGGAAAAAAUUGAAAUUAAUUUGUGUCGUGGGAACUGCUUUACUAUCUUAACGUACAUAAAUGAAAAAAAAGCUUAGUUUUAAUGAAGACCACUACUUGAAAUAAUUUAACUUGUGUCUGGAAAAUCACUUGAAAUAUCUUAACUUAGUUUGAGCCUUGAACAAAACUUAAAAUACCUUAACAUAAGUUGAGUUAUGAAGAAUAAUUGAAAUAUCUUAACUUAAUUGUGUCUUGAACAAUAAUUAAAAUGUCCUAACACAGUUUGAGUUUUGAACAAUACUUGAAAUAUCUUAACUUAGUUAGAGUCUGGAACAAUAAUUGAAAUAUCUAAAAUUAGAUUAAGUCUGGAAAAAAUACUUGAAAUAUUUUAUCUAAGCUUGAGUCUUGAACAAUACUUGAAAUAUCUUAACUUAGUUUGAGUCUGGAACAUUACUUGAAAUAUGUUGACUUAGUUUGAGUCUGAAUCAAUAUUUGAAAUACUUAACUUAGCUUGUGUCUGGAACAACACUUGAAUUAUCUUAACUUACUUUGAGUUUUAAAGAAUACAUGAAAUACCAUAACUUUACUUAGUUUGAGUUUGGAACAAUACAUGAAGUAUCUUAACUUAGUUUGAGUCUGGAACAAUACUUGAAAUAUCUUGACUGAGUUUGAGUCUGAAUCAAUAUUUGAAAUAUUUUAACUUAGCUUGUGUCUGGAACAACAUUUGAACUAUCUUAACUUAUUUGAGUCUUAAAAAAUACAUGAAAUAUCAUAACUUUACUUAGCUUGAGUCUGGAACAAUACUUGAAAUAUCUUAACUCAGUUUGAGUCUGGAACAAUACUUGAAAUAUCUUAACUUAGUUUGAGUCUUGAACAAAACUUGAAAUGUGUUAACUAAGUUUGAGUCUUGAAGAAUACUUGAAGCAUCUUAACUGAGUUUGAGUCUGGAACAUUACUUGAAAUAUGUUGACUUAGUUUGAGUCUGAAUCAAUAUUUGAAAUACUUAACUUAGCUUGUGUCUGGAACAACACUUGAACUAUCUUAACUUACUUUUAGUCAUAAAGAAUACAUGAAAUACCAUAACUUUACUGAGUUUGAGUCUGGAACAAUACUUGAAAUAUCUUAACUUAGUUUGAGUCUGGAACAAUACAUGAAGUAUCUUAACUUAGUUUGAGUCUGGAACAAUACUUGAAAUAUCUUAACUUAGUUUGAGUUUGGAA